UGUGGGUCUAUAUCUGUACUGGUCUCCCUGCUGAAGCUUUGGUUUAGGUGUCUUGGCCGCCCAAUCAUGGUUCUUACUUCUUUGUUUCCAAGCUGUUAACUGUAUUGUUAAGCCAAGAAUAGACACAGCUGCACUUUUCUUCAGUUAUAAGAAUUGAAGAUGCCUGGGGUUAAUUGAGAACUAGGUAUAGUGUAAUUCUUUGCAUUAUACCUGAGUUGUAGGCUGUAUAUGCCUGUUGGAUCUCUGGUUCUUAAUCCUGAUGAUAGGAAUUAGGUCUUUUCUUAGAGGAAGAGAGUAGUUUUUAUAAUUUAUUCAUUUUUGAGCCAGUUUUGCCAAAUGUGGUUAAAACUUCCCUCCAUCUGUAGUUGACACACAUUUAGCAUUUAAUUUCAGCUCUUCUAAUUAUAAUGCAUUCCAAAAUGUUACAUGAGGGUUUUGUGUGUGAGUGUGUGUGUGCAUCAUCAAAUAAGCGCACUGACUUUUUGGGAAACUAAAUGCUUCUAGAGCUUUGUGAAGGGUGCUGCCUUGUCUUUGAAGCCUGGUUUGGCUUUUGUUUUUGUUUUAUAUUGAAUAUCAGGGUAUUUACAAUGAUCUUUUGGAAAAAGUGAUUCAAAAGGGAACCAAAUUGAGCUGUGAAAUGUGUUCCUCUGACCCUCUAGGCCUCUUCUAUUUCAGGUCUUUGCUCUGGGGCCAGCUGACAUGGAACACUGAUGCCAUAAAUUGCUGAUUCUGCUAUUUCUUGAAGUAUUGGGUCAGUGAAUCAGGGUUUGCUAGGUCAGAAUUUUUUUGACAUCAAGACCCUCUUCUCUGGGCCUUGGGCAAUCCAGUUUCUAGGAUGAGGUUUUGAGGCCCUCAAGAAAGGCCCUUAGCCCCCAUCUUUGAUUCCUAUGCCUGAGGGAAGGUCAAGAUUCAAUUCCCUGUGACACCCAGCAGUGCCUGAAGUACUGCCAGGACUGUUUUUUUCCUCCAGUGAGAGAGUCCCAAGUGUCCUGGAUGGCAAGCAAUUCUUAACUGGAGAACAGUAGCAGGAACAGGCCUGGAGGGGCCAGGGAGGAGGCACAAAAGCUGAAUGGAGUUGCAAGGAAAGCACGGUUUAGAAGAAACUGUAGCCUUAAUAGCUGUGUAAUUACUUCUGAGCAAAAGACAUCACCAGGUUUAAUUUCACAUGCCCUCACCUCCCCUUACCCUUAGAACCAGAGAAAAGGAGAUUACUUAGACCAAGGCUGAACUGGGCAACUCUCAAACCUAAUGUCUUUAUCAGAGGUUUAUUUCAUCUCAAGUUGGGGCUUUUCCAGAUUUG
rnacentral:lncRNA from 1 species